GCCACUUUAAGCUCGGCCCAGUCCGCAUCGGGGAAUCGGAGGGAAGGGCUCUGCUGAACUGGACGGGACCGGGGGAGGGUUUCGACUUCCGGUGUCUUCCCGUGGAGUUGCGGAGGCCGGCGGCCACCUCAAGCUCAUCCGCCGAAUCAGACAUAUCGCCGAAGCUGCCUUAAUAUGACUACGUGCAGAAGAAUCUCAGUAAGCAUUCUGCCUGUGAAAAUUAGGCUGCGUGGUCGAGAUCAUCUACUUAUUAUGAUUCAGUGGCAUUGUAACUGAGGUGGAAGAAAAUGAUGGUAAUUGAUGAAAGUGUUCCUGAGAUAUUUACGUUCAGACAAUUUUUUUAUGAUUUAAGAACAAGUACCAUUCUCCCAGAAUCCAAGAGCAUCGGACAAAUCUGAUCCAUGGUUGGAAGUUCUAGCGAGAUGAUGGUGCCUGAUGGAAUUGUCAACAGGUCUUGGUUUUAGUGAUCAAGACUCGAGAGAGCAGCAAAUCCGAUGAAGUAGAGAACAAGUUGAUGUUUUGUGAUAGAGUAUCAUGCUCAUAUGCCGAAGAGAAGCAUCUCCUAGAUCAAAUUGAUGAUGUGCCUUUUGGCCUUGCGUCACAGGUGAAUUGUUCUGUCCUACCUGUUCUUAUCAGUAAUAGUUACUAUCUCAUCUAUUUUUUCAUUAAAAAUAAUUAGAAAAAAAUUUAUUACAUAGAAUGACGAAUGUGACGCUCAUCCGAGGCCCUAUUACUUAUACAGCAAUGCACUAACCAAUCGGAAGAGACUGUUUUAUCUAUUUCAAUGUUCAAUUGUGCAUGCCAAAUCUCUAGCAUGGCUUCUCAUGUGUGUGCCAAGUUCAGAUUUAUAUUUUGUUCUCAUGGGACUCAGAACAUGAGACCUAUUACUUAAUACAGUAAUGUACUAACCAAUCGGAAGAGACUGUUCUAUCUAUUUCAAUGUUUAAUUGUGCAUGCCAAAUAUCUAGCAUUGCUUCUCAUGUGUAUGCC